rfam:Acyrthosiphon pisum strain LSR1 Contig35946, whole genome shotgun sequence.
AAAACGGUCCUUUUCAGGACCACCAAUCAGAGACCAGUAAAAGCCA